rnacentral:antisense_RNA from 1 species
UACUCUAAGCAGUUCGCAGGGAGCAUCUUUCAGCAGCUGAAACAGCUUUGCGGCCUUGCUGUAAUGAAGAUCUGCCAGCACCCGGUGUUGUUUCCUAAGGUGUUCAUCACCAACCUAGAACCAAACCAAAACAAGCAACAAAUCCUUCACGAGAAAGAAAGAAAACAACUGUGUAAGCAGACAUCAGUGUAAACCUUAGCACUGUCUCUUGAUGAGAUAAGAGGAGGAUGGCAGUGACAGGAGUGUGGUGGCGAGCCAGUCACCUGCAGUCAACCACGGCUCAUUGCUCUCACCAUGCCUGUUACAUGAAGAAUUAGCAUUUAAGUACUAACCUGACUGGAAGCACUGGGAUCUUCAGAAACUGAAGACGGCAUUUCGAAGGGAGCAGGCCAUGAAGCCCCUUCCGAAUCAUUUGUCUGAUCUGAACUGGACGAUUCCUGCUGUUCUGCGGUGGAUGAGACAGGCUGAGCGGCUCCAUCACCAUUGAUACUGGCCAAACCAGAAAUAAAAAAAGAUUGCUGUUACUAAAGUUAA